AAAGUUAUUGGUAUGCCUAGUAAGCAUGCCUCUCCCGAAAACCAGUUGGAAGCUGAAAAUGUCGACCGAGACCAAAAAGAGAAACUAGCCAGCUAUUAAUGAUUCUUAGCUGGGCACUAAAACCCGGGCUUGUAGCUCAGCUGGUAGAGCGCCGCCUUUGCAAGGCGGAGGCCCUGGGUUCGAAUCCCAGCAAGUCCAAUUCACAUGCACACAUUGAGGCAGACUCGAUGUGGAAGGGCAGAGGUCCGUUAUUGACAGGCGGUCCUGUGAAGCCGUGCACAAGCUUUGCGACCAGACGCUCACUGAGUUUAGUGGGGCAUA
rnacentral:tRNA from 1 species